rnacentral:rRNA from 2 species
GGUAAUGCCGGAUGCUCCAGUUGAUCGCAUGGUCUUCUGGGAAAGCUUUCGCGGUAUGGGAUGGGGUCGCGUCCUAUCAGCUUGACGGCGGGGUAACGGCCCACCGUGGCUUCGACGGGUAGCCGGCCUGAGAGGGCGACCGGCCACAUUGGGACUGAGAUACGGCCCAGACUCCUACGGGAGGCAGCAGUGGGGAAUAUUGCACAAUGGGCGCAAGCCUGAUGCAGCGACGCCGCGUGAGGGAUGGAGGCCUUCGGGUUGUAAACCUCUUUUAUCGGGGAGCAAGCGUGAGUGAGUUUACCCGUUGAAUAAGCACCGGCUAACUACGUGCCAGCAGCCGCGGUAAUACGUAGGGUGCAAGCGUUAUCCGGAAUUAUUGGGCGUAAAGGGCUCGUAGGCGGUUCGUCGCGUCCGGUGUGAAAGUCCAUCGCUUAACGGUGGAUCCGCGCCGGGUACGGGCGGGCUUGAGUGCGGUAGGGGAGACUGGAAUUCCCGGUGUAACGGUGGAAUGUGUAGAUAUCGG